CGAUGUGUUCAUACGAGCACUAAUGCACUAGAUCCCAUCAGAACUCCGAAAUUAAGCAUGCUUAGCCGAUAAGGUUUGAGAAUCUUCUCGAACAUCUCUA
rnacentral:rRNA from 1 species